rnacentral:lncRNA from 1 species
CUAAAGACUCUCCUCUGUUUCUUUUUGGGAUUGUAUGGGAACUGCUGAGUCACGGCCUGAACCGCUGAUUGACCAUCUGGAGACAAGAGCCGGUCAGCCCUGGGAGCACAGGUGAAGGCAAUUCAGCUGUGCGACUGGAAGGGGAGCCUGCCUGCACCUCUUUUGGACUUCAUUUAAGGGCUGACUGCCACUAUGGAAGGAUCUUUUUUUGGCGAUCCUUCCUUUGUGGAGUUUCUACUGCAGGCCUAGAACCUUGGAGACAGGAGCUCGUCCUCCUGUCGCCUGAGUUACACUCCGGAGGGCAGAGCUGGAAGUCGUAUCAGAAACGAAAUACAAAACGUGUUAUGGGACAUGGAGGGGAUCGUGGAGAGGGCACGGACGUGG